AGUCCAAAGUCCACGAUCCUUGUCCAAUGGCAAUCAUUCAUUCUUAUCAAUUAUAAAAAGGGAAAUUUCCCCAACAUCGUUUUCAAUAUGCAAAUCAAUCAUCGGAAUGAUAUUUGAAGACAACUAUAGAGUUAGGGUAGUUUGGGUUGUGCCACUGUAGUUGCAAGUCGAACCAAGUGGGAGUCCAGUUUGUUUAGUCAAAGACCGAAUUGGACGUUACAAAGAAGAAGAAAGAUGCCGCGUCAUGUAAGCAAGUUGUGGCAGCCAUACGACACAAGUAAAGUUCCAAAAACUGGAGGUAUUUACUUCAUUAAAAGAGCAAAUGGCAGGAUUCAAUACGUCGGCCAAUCGAAAAAUUUGCGCCAAAGGUUAAAUGGGCACAAAUACAGCAAGCAACAGACCAUUUCCAAGUAUGUAAAGAAUGAUUUUGCCAACAACAAUGGAAAAACCCUCAGAAUAGCUUGGAUUGCAGAAAAAAACCACAAAUGCAUUGAAGGAAGGUUCCUGGACGACUUGGCCGAAGCGAUAGGCUAUUGGCCACCAAAGAACAAAAAACGGGGAAAUAAAUGCCGAUUGUUGAGACGAUAAGCGCGCAUUUGCGCAGGUGUCAUAUCAGGUAUCCACAUUAACAAGCAUCAAAAAAAGUGAAACACAAAGCUACUAGGUAUUGUUAAAGGUAGAGCGAUGUAAUCUCGAUGUUUAAUAACUUCAGCCCAAUUUUGCGAAUUCUUUGGUGCAAUGUAUUAAUUUGUUUCCUAGGAGUGGCGGUGGCAGGCUUGUCCUUGGAGUGGGAAGCACUUGCCUAGGUUCAAUUUCCGCACUCGGCUUCAUAUGUGGAUUGAGUUUGUUAGUAGUCUGCUCUGGGAGGUUUUUCCCAGGGUACUCCAGUUUUCCCCUCUAAUCAAAAACCAACUUUUGACUUGAUUUGCUUUGUUGAACAACAAUUUUAUAGCAGUGAUUUGGGCUAUGUGGAUUUCAUUUAGAAUUACACAGCGCAUUUGAUCAUAAUUUUUAUAGACAUAAUUUGCGCUAUGGAAAUAUUAAACAUUAGGACUCAAUACCAAGUGGCAAAACAGCUUGUUGGUCGCAUGCUGAGACUUCUGACAAUUGCUAUAGUCUCGUGUUUGCUCGGAUGUUCACACUGUCAUCUGUGGAUGUCUAGGCACUUUUGCCAUUUUACUAAAGUAGUUUUGAUACACGGUUUAAAAUAAAUCGAUGUCGUGGCUUCUUAAUAGUAGAAAAGACGCGCUUCAGCUGAGACAAAGUGCGCGCACUUCCACAGUAGUCAUAUGAAGUGUAACGGCUGUUGCAGGUAAAAUCCGAUAUCACGUGAAACCUGGUUAUUACCUCGGUAUAAUGAGCGAUUCGCAUUUCAUCUAGGUUGUUCUAAUUUCCCUAACUUCAAAUCAAGAAACUUUACAUUUCUGUUGUAUUUCAUGCCCUAGAAAGUUUAUGUAGUCCGUUAUCAAUCAGUAAUGAUAAUAUUAACAAAUAUGAGUAUUUGGCAACGAUUGCUCGCUUGGUCGAGGGGAGAUGGUGUUAAACUAAGAAUCCAGAGUUCAAGCCUUGGUUAGUACCAAAUUGUAAAAUUUAGAUAACAAGAGAUCUUAGAGCCAAGCCACCAUUUUUCAACCACACCUUGUUUUAGACAGAU